AAUUCUGUGUUCAGAUUUGGGCCCCUCACUCACUAUAGAAAAGACAUUGAGAUGCUGGAGCGUGUCCAGAGGAGGGCAACGAGCCAGGCACCAUCCC